rnacentral:tRNA from 1 species
GUAGCUCAGCUGGUUAGAGCACCUGGUUGUGGCCCAGGAGGCCGUGGGUUCAAGUCCCAUC